rnacentral:misc_RNA from 1 species
AGCAGCCGCGGUAAUUCCAGCUCCAAUAGCGUAUAUUAAAGUUGCUGCAGUUAAAAAGCUCGUAGUUGAAUUUCGGGAUCAAUUAGUCGGUCGUGCCUCUGGUACGUACUGGUUUUAUUGGUUCCUCCCUUCUGACGAAACAUGAUGUCAUUAAUUUGGUGUCGUGGAGAAUCAGGACUGUUACCUUGAAAAAUUAGAGUGUUUAUAGCAGGCUAACGCUUGAAUACAUUAGCAUGGAAUAAUGAAAUAGGACGUUCGACCCUAUUUUGUUGGUUUCUAGGAUCGACGUAAUGAUUAAUAGGGAUAGUUGGGGGCAUUAGUAUUCAAUUGUCAGAGGUGAAAUUCUUGGAUUUAUUGAAGACUAACUACUGCGAAAGCAUUUGCCAAGGAUGUUUUCAUUAAUCAAGAACGAAAGUUAGGGGAUCGAAGACGAUCAGAUACCGUCGUAGUCUUAACCAUAAACUAUGCCGACUAGGGAUCGGAUGAUGUUAAUUUUU